UACGGAGGGUGCAAGCGUUAUCCGGAUUCACUGGGUUUAAAGGGUGCGUAGGCGGCCUGAUAAGUCAUUGGUGAAAGCUCACAGCUUAACUGUGAAAUUGCCAUUGAAACUGUCAGGCUUGAAUCUGGUUGAAGUGGGCGGAAUACAACAUGUAGCGGUGAAAUGCUUAGAUAUGUUGUAGAACACCGAUUGCGAAGGCAGCUCACUAAACCAACAUUGACGCUGAGGCACGAAAGCGUGGGUAGCGAACAGG
rnacentral:rRNA from 1 species